UGCGGGAUCAUCUAAUGGUAGGAUACCGGCCUUUGAAGCCGAGAAUCAUGGUUCGAAUCCAUGUCCCGCAA
rnacentral:tRNA from 2 species